CCUACGGGGGGCAGCAGUGGGGAAUAUUGCACAAUGGGGGGAACCCUGAUGCAGCGACGCCGCGUGAGUGAAGAAGUAUUUCGGUAUGUAAAGCUCUAUCAGCAGGGAAGAAGAUGACGGUACCGGACUAAUAAGCCCCGGCUAACUACGUGACAGCAGCCGCGGUAAUACGUAGGGGGCCAGCGUUAUCCGGAUUUACUGGGUGUAAAGGGAGCGUAGACGGCAGGGCAAGUCUGGAGUGAAAGCCCGGGGCCCCACCCCGGGACUGCGUUGGACACUGCCAUGCUAGAGUGCUGGAGAGGUAAGCGGAACUCCUAGUGUAGCGGUGAAAUGCGUAGAUAUUAGGAGGAACACCAGUGGCGAAGGCGGCUUACUGGACAGUAACUGACGUUGAGGCUCGAAAGCGUGGGGAGCAAACAGGAUUAGAUACCCUGGUAGUC
rnacentral:rRNA from 1 species